rnacentral:rRNA from 1 species
AGGAAAAGAAACCAACCGGGAUUGCCUUAGUAACGGCGAGUGAAGCGGCAAAAGCUCAAAUUUGAAAUCUGGUACCUUCGGUGCCCGAGUUGUAAUUUGGAGAGGGCAACUUUGGGGCCGUUCCUCGUCUAUGUUCCUUGGAACAGGACGUCAUAGAGGGUGAGAAUCCCGUGUGGCGAGGAGUGCGGUUCUUUGUAAAGUGCCUUCGAAGAGUCGAGUUGUUUGGGAAUGCAGCUCUAAGUGGGUGGUAAAUUCCAUCUAAAGCUAAAUAUUGGCGAGAGACCGAUAGCGAACAAGUACAGUGAUGGAAAGAUGAAAAGAACUUUGAAAAGAGAGUGAAAAAGUACGUGAAAUUGUUGAAAGGGAAGGGCAUUUGAUCAGACAUGGUGUUUUGUGCCCUCUGCUCCUUGUGGGUAGGGGAAUCUCGCAUUUCACUGGGCCAGCAUCAGUUUUGGUGGCAGGAUAAAUCCAUAGGAAUGUAGCUUGCCUCGGUAAGUAUUAUAGCCUGUGGGAAUACUGCCAGCUGGGACUGAGGACUGC